GGCGAGUGAACAGGGAAAAGCCCAAAUUUGUAAUCUGGCACUUUUUACAAGUGUCCGAGUUGUAAUUUGUAGAGCUGUUAUCCGUACUGGACCAUGUACAAGUCUGUUGAAAAGCAGCAUCAUUGAAGGUGAAAAUCCUGUAGAUGAUAUGGACUACCAGUAUAUUUGUGAUACGGUUUCUAAGAGUCGAGUUGUUUGGGAAUGCAGCUCAAAGUGGGUGGUAAAUUCCAUCUAAGGCUAAAUAUAAGUGAGAGACCGAUAGCAAACAAGUACCGUGAGGGAAAGAUGAAAAGAACUUUGAAAAUAGAGUUAACAGUACGUGAAAUUGCUGAAAGGGAAACGUUUGAAGUUAGUUUUGUAUUCGUUGGAUCAGCUUCGCAAGGAGUGUAUUCUGAUGAUAAGCAAGUCAACAUCAGUCUAUGAGUGUUGGAUAAGGGUUUUGAGAAUGUAGCAAUUUAAUUGUGUUAUAGCUUGAGACUUGGAUACAAUGCUUUGGAUUGAGGAACGCGUAGUAAGCUUUGAGCGGAUUCGAAAGGAUCUCCUUACUAUG
rnacentral:rRNA from 1 species